rnacentral:rRNA from 1 species
UACGUAGGGUGCAAGCGUUGUCCGGAAUUAUUGGGCGUAAAGAGCUCGUAGGCGGUUUGUCGCGUCGACUGUGAAAACCCGAGGCUUAACCUCGGGCCUGCAGUCGAUACGGGCAGACUAGAGUUCGGUAGGGGAGACUGGAAUUCCUGGUGUAGCGGUGAAAUGGCGCAGAUAUCAGGAGGAACACCGGUGGCGAAGGCGGGUCUCUGGGCCGAUACUGACGCUGAGGAGCGAAAGCGUGGGGAGCGAACAGG